rnacentral:rRNA from 1 species
GAAAGUUGCAAAGCACUUUGAAGAGAGAGUUAAAGAGGACGUGAAACCGGUAAGAUGGAAACGGAUAGAGCCAGCGAAGUCGCUCGUAUUCAGCCAAAGACUCGGUGUCGCCGGCUGUCGGGUUUCUAAUCGAGCACGGCAGUUGGUUGGCGCUGUUUCGAGGUGCAUUUGCGGGCGUUUGCGCCGAGACUUGCGGAGCAGCUCUUGGAACCGCGUCUAGAGGCUUCCCUCUGGGUUGUACCUGGUCGUGGCUACAGGUGUUUGCUCUGCUCGUACCUGGGUCUGGCCUACGGGGUCAGGUUGCGCCGUUGUUGCCUAGCGGUGGUAUCGCAUGCGAUGCCUAGCUUGGUGGCUGCGGUUCGGCUUGACUCCACUGACUCGCUCUCGGUGUAGAAGCUGGUCAUCUCUCCGACCCGUCUUGAAACACGGACCAAGGAGUUUAGCGUAUGCGCGAGCCAUUGGGUGCAAAACCCACAGGCACAAUGAAAGUAAAGGUCCAGUCCCUGGGCUGACAUGUGAGCGCCGCGGCUUCGGCCCUGGUGUGCAGCAUGGUCCCGUUGCAGUCGCUUGCGACGCAGCGGAGACAGAGCGUAUGCGCUGAGACCCGAAAGAUGGUGAACUAUUCCUGAGCAGGACGAAGCCAGAGGAAACUCUGGUGGAAGUCCGAAGCGAUUCUGACGUGCAAAUCGAUCGUCUGAC